rnacentral:rRNA from 1 species
GACGAACGCUGGCGGCGUGCUUAACACAUGCAAGUCGAACGGAAAGGCCCUGCUUUUGUGGGGUGCUCGAGUGGCGAACGGGUGAGUAACACGUGAGUAACCUGCCCUUGACUUUGGGAUAACUUCAGGAAACUGGGGCUAAUACCGGAUAGGAGCUCCUGCUGCAUGGUGGGGGUUGGAAAGUUUCGGCGGUUGGGGAUGGACUCGCGGCUUAUCAACUUGUUGGUGGGGUAGUGGCUUACCAAGGCUUUGACGGGUAGCCGGCCUGAGAGGGUGACCGGCCACAUUGGGACUGAGAUACGGACCAGACUCCUACGGGAGGCAGCAGUGGGGAAUAUUGCACAAUGGGCGGAAGCCUGAUGCAGCAACGCCGCGUGCGGGAUGACGGCCUUCGGGUUGUAAACCGCUUUCGCCUGUGACGAAGCGUGAGUGACGGUAAUGGGUAAAGAAGCACCGGCUAACUACGUG